GCCUGGCUGGCUCAGUUGGUUGAGCAUCUGACUCUUGAUUUCGGCUCAGGUGAUGAUCCCAGGGUCAUGGGGUUGAACCCCAUGUCAGGCU
rnacentral:tRNA from 1 species